AUCAACUUUCGAUGGUAGGAUAGAGGCCUACCAUGGUGGUAACGGGUAACGGGGUGUUAGGGCACGACACCGGAGAGGGAGCCUGAGAAACGGCUACCACAUCCAAGGAUGGCAGCAGGCGCGCAAAUUACCCAAUCCCGAUACGGGGAGGUAGUGACAAUAAAUAACAAUACGGGGUCCUUUGGGUCUCGUAAUUGGAAUGAGUACAAUUUAAAUCUCUUAACGAGGAACAAUUGGAGGGCAAGUCUGGUGCCAGCAGCCGCGGUAAUUCCAGCUCCAAUAGCGUAUAUUAAAGUUGUUGCAGUUAAAAAGCUCGUAGUUGAAUUUCGGGGUCGGUAGGUUGGUCAUGCCAUCGGUAUGCACUGGUCUCACCGAUUCCUCCCUCUUGUAGAAGCGUAAUGCCAUUAAUUUGGUGUUGCGGGGAAACAGGACUGUUACUUUGAAAAAAUUAGAGUGUUUAAAGCAGGCUAACGCCUGAAUACAUUAGCAUGGAAUAAUGAAAUAGGACGUCGAUCCUAUUUUGUUGGUUUCUAGGGUUGACGUAAUGAUUAAUAGGGAUAGUUGGGGGCAUUAGUAUUCAAUUGUCAGAGGUGAAAUUCUUGGAUUUAUUGAAGACUAACUACUGCGAAAGCAUUUGCCAAGGAUGUUUUCAUUAAUCAAGAACGAAAGUUAGGGGAUCGAAGACGAUCAGAUACCGUCGUAGUCUUAACCAUAAACUAUGCCGACUAGGGAUCGGAUGAUGUUAAUUUUUUAAUGACUCAUUCGGCGCCUUACGGGAAACCAAAGUGUUUGGGUUC
rnacentral:rRNA from 1 species